ensembl:rRNA 5S_rRNA 5S ribosomal RNA
GUCUACGGCCAUACCACCCUGAAUGCGCCUGAUCUCGUCUGAUCUUGGAAGCUAAGCAGGGUUGGGCCUGGUUAGUACUUGGAUGGGAGAGAGAGAAGGGGGGAUUAUUUGACA